rnacentral:rRNA from 1 species
GAUUUCUGACUUGGCGCACCUGGCCCGCCACGGUUACGUGUGUGAGUGCCGGGAUGCGCCUGUCACUUUUCUGGUAAACUAUUGUGCCCUUCAUUGGGUAUGAUAGGUAGCCAGAUAUUUUACUUUGAAAAAAUUAGAGUGUUUAAAGCAGGCGUUUGCUAUGAAUACAUUAGCAUGGAAUAAUAAUUUAGGACUUCGGUUCUAUUUUGUUGGUUUCUAUAACUGAAGUAAUGAUUGAUAGGGAUAGUUGGGGGUGCUAGUAUUCAAUGGCCAGAGGUGAAAUUCUCGGAUUCGCUGAAGACUAACUUAUGCGAAAGCAUU